rnacentral:misc_RNA from 1 species
GAUGAAGAACGCAGCGAAAUGUGAUACGUAAUGUGAAUUGCAGAAUUCAGUGAAUCAUCGAGUCUUUGAACGCACAUUGCGCCCCCUGGUAUUCCGGGGGGCAUGCCUGUCCGAGCGUCAUUGCUGCCCUCAAGCACGGCUUGUGUGUUGGGCCUCCGUCCUCCUCCCGGGGGACGGGCCCGAAAGGCAGCGGCGGCACCGCGUCCGGUCCUCGAGCGUAUGGGGCUUCGUCACCCGCUCUUGUAGGCCCGGCCGGCGCUUGCCGACACAUCAAUCUUUUUUCCAGGUUGACCUCGGAUCAGGUAGGGAUACCCGCUGAACUUAAGCAUAUCAAUAAGCGGAGGA